UACGGAGGGGGCUAGCGUUGUUCGGAAUUACUGGGCGUAAAGCGCGCGUAGGCGGACCUGCAAGUCGGGGGUGAAAGCCCGAGGCUCAACCUCGGAACUGCCUUCGAUACUGCGGGUCUCGAGUCCGGGAGAGGUGAGUGGAAUUCCUAGUGUAGAGGUGAAAUUCGUAGAUAUCAAGAGGAACACCUGAGGUGAAGACGGGUUGCUGGGCUGACACUGACGCUGAGGCGCGAAAGCUAGGGUAGCAAACGGG
rnacentral:rRNA from 1 species